UCGGGAAUUUUGGGCAAUGGGCGAAAGCCUGACCCAGCAACGCCGCGUGAGGGAUGAAGUAUUUCGGUAUGUAAACCUCGAAAGAAUGGGAAGAAUAAAUGACGGUACCAUUUAUACGCUCCGGCUAACUACGUGCCAGCAGCCGCGGUAAUACGUAGGGAGCAAGCGUUGUUCGGAUUUACUGGGCGUAAAGGGCGCGUAGGCGGCGCGGUAAGUCACUUGUGAAAUCUCUGAGCUUAACUCAGAACGGCCAAGUGAUACUGCUGUGCUAGAGUGCGGAAGAGGCAACCGGAAUUCUUGGUGUAGCGGUGAAAUGCGUAGAUAUCAAGAGGAACACCUGAGGCGAAGGCGGGUUGCUGGGCCGACACUGACGCUGAUGCGCGAAAGCCAGGGGAGCAAAC
rnacentral:rRNA from 1 species